UACCUACUCCCUCCGUCCGAAAAUACUUGUCAUCAAAAUAGAUAAAAGGGGAUGUAUCUAGAUGUAUUUUAGUUCUAGAUAUAUCUCUUUUUAUCCAUUUUGAUGACAAGUAUUUUCGGACGGAGGGAGUAAUAU
rnacentral:pre_miRNA from 1 species